rnacentral:rRNA from 1 species
AUUGAACGCUGGCGGCAGGCUUAACACAUGCAAGUCGAGCGGAGAUGAGGUGCUUGCACCUUAUCUUAGCGGCGGACGGGUGAGUAAUGCGUAGGAAGCUGCCCGAUAGAGGGGGAUACCAGUUGGAAACGACUGUUAAUACCGCAUAAUGUCUACGGACCAAAGUGUGGGACCGUCGGGCCACAUGCUAUCGGAUGCGCCUACGUGGGAUUAGCUAGUUGGUGAGGUAAUGGCUCACCAAGGCGACGAUCUCUAGCUGGUUUGAGAGGAUGAUCAGCCACACUGGAACUGAGACACGGUCCAGACUCCUACGGGAGGCAGCAGUGGGGAAUAUUGGACAAUGGGCGCAAGCCUGAUCCAGCCAUGCCGCGUGUGUGAAGAAGGCCUUCGGGUUGUAAAGCACUUUCAGCGAGGAGGAAGGGUGGUGUGUUAAUAGCACAUCAUUUUGACGUUACUCGCAGAAGAAGCACCGGCUAACUCUGUGCCAGCCGCCGCGGUAAAAC